AAGGGGUAAGCCGAAAACCUUUAUAAACGAGUAGGCA
rfam:Niastella yeongjuensis strain 17621 contig25, whole genome shotgun sequence.